UUAACUGAAACCAAAAAGAGGUAUAUUACUGUUAAUAAUAAAACUGAAUAAACAUUCCAGUUAAA
rnacentral:tRNA from 1 species